rnacentral:snRNA from 1 species
UUCGAGUCAAGAGAUAGA